CAAUGGCCGGCUCACGAUUCCACCCUGAAGACUCCGGGGACCUCGGCUCCAGCCUCUGGAGGAGCCCAAGGCGUGGAGAAACCCAGCGACUCCCUCAACAAGGCUGAGCACCCUGCCACCCAACCAGGCUGCCUCUCCCCCAACGAGUGUGGAAGAGACACCUCGCUGUCCUCGGCCGGACGUCAGGCACCUGGGCGCAGAGAGUCCCCGGUGCCCGGAAAACCACCACAAACCUCUGGCUGCUGGCUCCGGCUUCGGCCCCACGCAGCAUCCACCCCACUCCUGGGCGGGUGCCUGCCGCCUCCGAGCUGCACCUGCGGCCAGAAGGGCCUCUGGCGCCGUCUUGUGGACAUCUGCGCGCACAGCACCGCCCCGGGGUUCCCGCUCGGGCUGGCCCAGCAGCACCUGGGCUGCAUUGGCCCUGGGCAAUAUGUUGCUUCGGGAGGAAGCAAGCUGUGGGGACCUAGCAAGCUGGGCCCUUCCCAGGGGGUUCUUGCCCUCGCCCUCGCCCUCGCCCUCUCAAAGGGGCCCAGAGCCCUGAGGCCCACCUACCCUGAGCCACACCGUUCAAACCCUCAGCUCCAGACCCAUUCUCCACGACAGCAUCCUGCCUCUUUUUUUUCUUUUUUUCUUUUUUUUUUGAAUAUAUAUAAAUUAUACCUCUCCGUGUACUCCGGUAUUUGUGAACAUAGGUUUCUCAGGAUGCAGCUAUUGAUGUUUGCUGGCUCUUCCCACUGUCAUUCCUUCAUUCGGACAGGAAAGCCUUGCUUCUUUCCUGUCCGUUUUUGCUCCCUAGCCCUCAGCGUUCCUUCCACUUGGACCCCGCCUCACACAGGCAUGAGUUAUUUUCCCGUCCUCGGUUUGCAAGCCACAGCGAUGAUCCCAGCCCCCAAAGGGACCAAGACAGACCUUUCACCCUGGGAGCCACGGGGAAUGUCUGUGCGCCCUUUCUUUCUAUCGAGCGACCGGCCUGAAACCACUCGACCUCUCUUUCGAUCAGGCAUUCAUACCAGGUGUCUCUCGGGAAGCCGGGCGGCUCCCACAUGGACCUCUAGGCACCGAGAGUCAGGAGACCUCUUGAGAGAACACCACGGGGAGGAGCGGGGCUGCUCCCCGACAUCGCACCAUUCUCCCACCUUCCAUGCACAUCCCAGCACAACUCGAUCCGGGUCCCAAAGCCCCGGGAAGGCCGCGGUUGCCAAAGCACCAGCUCCACAGCUGACACCAGCCAACAGCCAAACAAAACCAACACCCCCAUUCCACGAGGGGUCAAAGCCCUGA
rnacentral:lncRNA from 1 species